rnacentral:rRNA from 1 species
UGGGGAAUAUUGGACAAUGGGCGAAAGCCUGAUCCAGCCAUGCCGCGUGUGUGAAGAAGGUGUUCGGAUUGUAAAGUACUUGAAGUUGGGAGGAAGGGCAGUAAGCGAAUACCUUGCUGUUUUGACGUUACCGACAGAAUAAGCACCGGCUAACUCUGUGCCAGCAGCCGCGGUAAUACAGAGGGUGCAAGCGUUAAUCGGAAUUACUGGGCGUAAAGCGCGCGUAGGUGGUUCGUUAAGUUGAAUGUGAAAGCCCCGGGCUCAACCUGGGAACUGCAUCCAAAACUGGCGAGCUAGAGUAGGGCAGAGGGUGGUGGAAUGUCCUGUGUAGCGGUGAAAUGCGUAGAUAUAGGAAGGAACACCAGUGGCGAAGGCGACCACCUGGGCUCAUACUGACACUGAGGUGCGAAAGCGUGGGGAGCAAACAGG